rnacentral:rRNA from 1 species
UACGGAGGGGGCUAGCGUUGUUCGGAAUCACUGGGCGUAAAGCGCACGUAGGCGGAUCUUUAAGUCAGGGGUGAAAUCCUGGAGCUCAACUCCAGAACUGCCUUUGAUACUGAGGAUCUCGAGUCCGGAAGAGGUGAGUGGAACUCCGAGUGUAGAGGUGAAAUUCGUAGAUAUUCGGAAGAACACCAGUGGCGAAGGCGGCUCACUGGUCCGGUACUGACGCUGAGGUGCGAAAGCGUGGGGAGCAAACAGG